UUUAACAAGAUCCAGGUAUGAUAAAGCAUCUGUGACAUUCAACUGUCGGUACUCUUGAGGAGGUGGAGGUGGAGCAGAAGGAUUUUGAUUAGGAACAAAAGGAGAAGCAGAAGAUUUUACAGUGCCUGGUCUAGGAAUAUUAGAAUCAGUAGAAGAAAGUAUGGUCGGUUGUUGCUCAAUGGCGCGAGCGGGACUUGCUGAGAUCACAGUAACAUUAGGGUGCGACUGGGGUUGUGGUGGGGGAGGAAGCUGCGAAGGCGGCCCACCAUAAACAGCAGCAUACCCAUUUGCAGGAUUCGGUAUGGCUGUAUGAGACACUUGUGUAUUUACAUUACGGUAAAGUAAACGCCCCGUUGCCGGAUCGUAUACUGGACUGAUAGAGUUGAAUAAAGGGAAUGGAGGUGGUCCUUGUGGGUUGGUGUGAGGAGGGGCCUGAGUAAAUAAAGGUGCU